rnacentral:rRNA from 1 species
UACAGAGACCGCAAGCGUUGUUCGGAUUUACUGGGCGUAAAGCGCACGUAGGCGGGUCCGUAAGUCUGUGGUGAAAUCCCCCGGCUCAACCGGGGAACUGCCUCAGAUACUGCGGGUCUUGAGGACGGGAGGGGAGAGUGGAACUUCCAGUGGAGCGGUGAAAUGCGUAGAUAUUGGAAGGAACACCGGUGGCGAAAGCGACUCUCUGGUCCGUCUCUGACGCUGAGGUGCGAAAGCUAGGGUAGCAAACGGG